rnacentral:rRNA from 1 species
GACGAACGCUGGCGGCGUGCUUAACACAUGCAAGUCGAACGAAGUGGCGAACGGGUGAGUAACGCGUAAUCAACCUGCCCUUAAGCGGGGGACAACAGUUGGACACGACUGCUAAUAACGCAUACUGAAGGAGGGGCUUGCGUCUGAUUAGCUAGUUGGAGGGGUAAAGGCCCACCAAGGCGAUGAUCAGUAGCCGGUCUGUGAGGAUGAACGGCCACAAUGGGACUGAGACACGGCCCAGAUUCCUACGGGAGGCAGCAGUGGGGAAUCUUCCGCAAUGGACGAAAGUCUGACGGAGCAACGCCGCGUGAGUGAUGACGGCCUUCGGGUUGUAAAGCUCUGUUAAUCGGGACGCGGUACCGGAAUAGAAAGCCACGGCUAACUACGUGCCAGCCGCCGCGGUAAUUC